CAGUAGCGUAUAUUAAAGUUGUUGCAGUUAAAAUGCUCGUAGUUGAAGUUCGGAUGCAGCAGAGCUUGGAAACGCUGUUAUGGUGCUUCCGUUGCUUUUGCUUGUCCACAGUGCGUUGCAAGUACGUAUGUGCUUGUGCGUGCAUUUUACCUUGAGAAACAUAGGGUGUUCCACGCAUGUUACGGCAUGAAUAUUCCAGCAUGGGAUAAUCUGGUACGACUUCCAAUCUGCCAUUUUGGUUCGUAGGUUGGAAGUAAUGAUUAAUAGGGACUGUCGGGGGCAUUGGUAUUUGACUGUCAGAGGUGAAAUUCUUAGAUUCGUUGAGGACCAACCACUGCGAAAGCAUUUGUCAAGGAUGUCUCCAUUAA
rnacentral:rRNA from 1 species